GACGAACCGUGCAAACGUUGUUCGGAUUCACUGGGCUUAAAGGGCGCGUAGGCGGGUGGCUAAGUCAGGGGUGAAAUCUUUCAGCUUAACUGGAAAAUAGCUUCUGAUACUGGCCGUCUUGAGGGAGGUAGGGGCAUGUGGAACUUCCGGUGGAGCGGUGAAAUGCGUAGAUAUCGGAAGGAACGCCGGUGGCGAAAGCGAUGUGCUGGACCUUUUCUGACGCUGAGGCGCGAAAGCCAGGGGAGCAAACGGG
rnacentral:rRNA from 1 species